rnacentral:rRNA from 1 species
GAGUUUGAUCUUGGCUCAGAUUGAACGCUGGCGGCAUGCCUUACACAUGCAAGUCGAACGGCAGCAUGAUCUAGCUUGCUAGAUUGAUGGCGAGUGGCGAACGGAUGAGUAAUACAUCGGAACGUGCCCUGUAGUGGGGGAUAACUAGUCGAAAGAUUAGCUAAUACCGCAUACGACCUGAGGGUGAAAGUGGGGACCGCAAGGCCUCAUGCUAUAGGAGCGGCCGAUGUCUGAUUAGCUAGUUGGUGGGUAAAGGCCACCAAGGCGACGAUCAGUAGCUGGUCUGAGAGGACGAUCAGCCACACUGGGACUGAGACACGGCCCAGACUCCUACGGGAGGCAGCAGUGGGGAAUUUUGGACAAUGGGCGAAAGCCUGAUCCAGCAAAUGCCGCGUGUGUGAAGAAGGCC